AGAGCGAACGCUGGCGGCAGGCCUAACACAUGCAAGUCGAGCGCUCCGCAAGGGGAGCGGCAGACGGGAGAGUAACACGUGGGAACGUACCCUUCAGUUCGGAACAACCCAGGGAAACUUGGGCUAAUACCGGAUACGUCCGAAAGGAGAAAGAUUUAUCGCUGAAGGAUCGGCCCGCGUCUGAUUAGCUUGUUGGUGAGGUAACGGCUCACCAAGGCGACGAUCAGUAGCUGGUCUGAGAGGAUGAUCAGCCUCACUGGGACUGAGACACGGCCCAGACUCCUACGGGAGGCAGCAGUGGGGAAUAUUGGACAAUGGGCGCAAGCCUGAUCCAGCCAUGCCGCGUGGGUGAUGAAGGCCCUAGGGUUGUAAAGCCCUUUCGGCGGGGAAGAUAAUGACGGUACCCGCAGAAGAAGCCCCGGCUAACUUCGUGCCAGCAGCCGC
rnacentral:rRNA from 1 species